rnacentral:rRNA from 1 species
UACAGAGGUCUCAAGCGUUGCUCGGAAUCACUGGGCGUAAAGGGUGCGUAGGCGGGCCUUUAAGUCAGGGGUGAAAUCCUGGAGCUCAACUCCAGAACUGCCUUUGAUACUGAAGAUCUUGAGUUCGGGAGAGGUGAGUGGAACUGCGAGUGUAGAGGUGAAAUUCGUAGAUAUUCGCAAGAACACCAGUGGCGAAGGCGGCUCACUGGCCCGAUACUGACGCUGAGGCACGAAAGCGUGGGGAGCAAACAGG